GAUGAACGCUGGCGGCGUGCCUAAUACAUGCAAGUCGAGCGAACAUUUGGGAGCUUGCUCCCCAGAAUUAGUGGCGGACGGGUGAGUAACACGUGGGUAACCUGCCUGUAAGACUGGGAUAACUUUGGGAAACCGUAGCUAAUACCGCAUAACAUCGAUUACUACAUGAUCUUCAAUUAAAAGGUGCCUCUUAGCUACUACUUACAGAUGGACCCGCGUCGGAUUAGCUAGUUGGUGAGGUAACGGCUCACCAAGGCGACGAUGCGUAGCCGACCCGAGAGGGUGAUCGGCCAGACUGGGACUGAGACACGGCCCAGAAGCCCACGGGAGGCAGCAGGAGGGAAUCUGCGGGAAGGGACGGAAGUCGGAACGAGAAACGACGCGUGAGGGAAGAAGGGUGUCGGAUCGGAAAGAUCGGUUGUAAGAGAAGAACGAGUGUGAGAGGGGAAAGUGCACACUGUGACGGUACCUGACCAGAAAGGGACGGCUAACUACGUG
rnacentral:rRNA from 1 species